CCCUCCUGGCAAUGGACAAAGAAACACCUUGUUGGUGGUAUCAUUCUUAUAUCAGUCAGGGGCAGAGCAGAUGGCAGUUCUUUAUUUCUAGCUUAAUUCCUGGCUUGGUGGCCAAAGCUGUCUUAUACCUGGGACUCAAAA